ensembl:lncRNA
UUAAGCUGUCCUUUUAAUAAUAGAAAACAGUUGUCCUCAAAAUGGGAUAAUUUUAAAUAUAAAAAAAAUAACACACCACAGGGAACUGAAAAGAAAAAACAAAUUUAAUGAUGUAUUCAAGGCCAUCCAAACCACCCACCCACAUAUUAAGUGUUUGCUGGCUACACAGACACUAUAGUUGCCAUGGUUAAACCAAAGAUCUUCUUCGGAAAAGUAAACCCCUUGGUUGAAAAAAAAUAAAGCAAAAUAAAAUAUUGCAUGCGGUGAAUAAUCAAACUGUUAGGGCAACAUCCUGCUCCCUCUGAAAUCAGCAGGCUCUUUUCUGGAGGAUUGGUGCUAAAUUUUCAGCUGCCUGAUGGACCAAAAAUAGGGGGGCUGCAGCACGGAGAUGGGAGCUGCCUGGUGGAGGAGAGAGGAGACUGAAGCUGGGGGUGGCAGGGUGACUGCCCUGGUGAAUUAAACAUGGAAUUUAGUGGUACAGAUAACAUUGCUUUAUUUUCUUAUACAGAUGUAGCUCUGAAGAGCUGGCUGUCAUUUGAACAAUGGGCUUGAAAGGAGUGAAGCAAACUGCAAUCAGCAUAGUGUGGCAGAAGCCAAUGGCAAAGCUGCUGUAGAGAGACACAGCCUGAAUGAAACGCUGAUUGAUAUGCAGUCCAUGUGUCAUAAUAUGUGGCCAAGCCUGCUGGUACCUCAGAAUUACAAACACCAAGAGGCUGAAAAUUUCAACUGGCAGAAGAAAGAACCUAGCAGGGUUUCCAUAGCAAUCCCAACCGUGCAUCUCCUGUGAAUGGAGCAAUUCGGGUGCACACCAAUGAGUCCCUACGAGGCCCCGCUGCCUCCUGCUGUCAGCGGGGACAGCAUCCCUGUGGGAGGAAAGGAUUCACCCAGAGCACUGCUGGACACAGAUGGUUUUCAUAUGACACCAUGAAGUGGCUUGUGGAACUCCUUGCUAUCAAGAACCAGGAAGGGAGGGACCUCUCCUGCUGACUGCAGAGCCUCCUGCCUGCAUCCCUGCUACUGGAAGGAUGGAUGGACAGUGAGCCAAGAGCAAGUAUUGGAGCUGAAAUCCUUUUGUAACUCUGUAAGAGGACAGUGUUUCAAAGUAAGACCUAGAAAGCAUGCUUGUUUGCGGAAGAUGUCCUCACAACCUUCAUGGUACAUACCAAGAACUUCAAAAAUUGACAGAAAAUGAAGUGAAAAGGAAAAACGAUACUUUUCUGUACCUUCCACAGAAAGGAAAAAGAGAACAUUGACUUGAUCUUUAUUUCUUAGUUUACGUUUAAGACUAAACUGCAUAUUUUGGUCAAUACCUGGAAAAAGGCAAGUUAGAGGAUUAUCUCUUGUAAAUCCAUCUAUCGUUUGUUUGUGUCUAAUGCUUUCUACUAGAAGUGAGAACAAAACAAAACAAAAUAAAU